UAAGCAAUGCGGGGCUAUACAUGCAGUCGACGAACUCUGGUAUUGAUUGGUGCUUGCAUCAUGAUUUACAUUUGAGUGAGUGGCGAACUGGUGAGUAACACGUGGGAAACCUGCCCAGAAGCGGGGGAUAACACCUGGAAACAGAUGCUAAUACCGCAUAACAACUUGGACCGCAUGGUCCGAGCUUGAAAGAUGGCUUCGGCUAUCACUUUUGGAUGGUCCCGCGGCGUAUUAGCUAGAUGGUGGGGUAACGGCUCACCAUGGCAAUGAUACGUAGCCGACCUGAGAGGGUAAUCGGCCACAUUGGGACUGAGACACGGCCCAAACUCCUACGGGAGGCAGCAGUAGGGAAUCUUCCACAAUGGACGAAAGUCUGAUGGAGCAACGCCGCGUGAGUGAAGAAGGGUUUCGGCUCGUAAAACUCUGUUGUUAAAGAAGAACAUAUCUGAGAGUAACUGUUCAGGUAUUGACGGUAUUUAACCAGAAAGCCACGGCUAACUACGUGCCAGCAGCCGCGGUAAUACGUAGGUGGCAAGCGUUGUCCGGAUUUAUUGGGCGUAAAGCGAGCGCAGGCGGUUUUUUAAGUCUGAUGUGAAAGCCUUCGGCUCAACCGAAGAAGUGCAUCGGAAACUGGGAAACUUGAGUGCAGAAGAGGACAGUGGAACUCCAUGUGUAGCGGUGAAAUGCGUAGAUAUAUGGAAGAACACCAGUGGCGAAGGCGGCUGUCUGGUCUGUAACUGACGCUGAGGCUCGAAAGUAUGGGUAGCAAACAGGAUUAGAUACCCUGGUAGUCCAUACCGUAAACGAUGAAUGCUAAGUGUUGGAGGGUUUCCGCCCUUCAGUGCUGCAGCUAACGCAUUAAGCAUUCCGCCUGGGGAGUACGGGCCGCAAGGCUGAAACUCAAAGGAAUUGACGGGGGCCCGCACAAGCGGUGGAGCAUGUGGUUUAAUUCGAAGCUACGCGAAGAACCUUACCAGGUCUUGACAUACUAUGCAAAUCUAAGAGAUUAGACGUUUCCCUUUCGGGGACAUGGAUACAGGUGCUGCAUGUGUCGUCAGCUCGUGUCGUGAGAUGUGGGUAGUCCCGCACGAGCGCACCCUUAUUAUCAGUUGCAGCAUUAAGUUGGG
rnacentral:rRNA from 1 species